AAGUACACGGUUCCGACUCUAU
rnacentral:miRNA from 1 species